rnacentral:lncRNA from 1 species
GUUUAAAUCUGAUGAACGCAGGUACGACCCAAUGGUUGUGCCGUAUUCAGUGAGAUCAUCUUUUGUCAUAGUCAUUCUGGAGUUACCUAGUUUGGUGAAUACAAAUGCGACGGAGCUUGACAUUUAUACCAAAAUAAAUGUAUAUAUAUACGUACCUAAACACAAGAACAUAUAUGAAAAAAAAAAAAAAAAGGCUGUGGCAUAAAACACGAGCUCUUAAGAACACACAUUUUGUUUCCCUGGUUUAAAGAAUUUCAA